rnacentral:rRNA from 1 species
GCAAGCGUUAAUCGGAAUUACUGGGCGUAAAGCGCACGCAGGCGGUCUGUCAAGUCGGAUGUGAAAUCCCCGGGCUCAACCUGGGAACUGCAUCCGAAACUGGCAGGCUAGAGUCUUGUAGAGGGGGGUAGAAUUCCAGGUGUAGCGGUGAAAUGCGUAGAGAUCUGGAGGAAUACCGGUGGCGAAGGCGGCCCCCUGGACAAAGACUGACGCUCAGGUGCGAAAGCGUGGGGAGCAAACAGGACUAGAUACCCUGGUAGUCCACGCCGUAAACGAUGUCGACUUGGAGGUUGUGCCCUUGAGGCGUGGCUUCCGGAGCUAACGCGUUAAGUCGACCGCCUGGGGAGUACGGCCGCAAGGUUAAAACUCAAAUGAAUUGACGGGGGCCCGCACAAGCGGUGGAGCAUGUGGUUUAAUUCGAUGCAACGCGAAGAACCUUACCUACUCUUGACAUCCAGAGAACUUAGCAGAGAUGCUUUGGUGCCUUCGGGAACUCUGAGACAGGUGCUGCAUGGCUGUCGUCAGCUCGUGUUGUGAAAUGUUGGGUUAAGUCCCGCAACGAGCGCAACCCUUAUCCUUUGUUGCCAGCGAUUCGGUCGGGAACUCAAAGGAGACUGCCAGUGAUAAACUGGAGGAAGGUGGGGAUGACGUCAAGUCAUCAUGGCCCUUACGAGUAGGGCUACACACGUGCUACAAUGGCAUAUACAAAGAGAAGCGACCUCGCGAGAGCAAGCGGACCUCAUAAAGUAUGUCGUAGUCCGGAUUGGAGUCUGCAACUCGACUCCAUGAAGUCGGAAUCGCUAGUAAUCGUGGAUCAGAAUGCCACGGUGAAUACGUUCCCGGGCCUUGUACACACCGCCCGUCACACCAUGGGAGUGGGUUGCAAAAGAAGUAGGUAGCUUAACC